UGCAAUUAAUUGGGAUCAUUCUGAUGGGA
rnacentral:piRNA from 1 species